UAGAGUUGACUCCUGGCUACGAGGACGAACGCUGGCGGCGUGCUUAACACAUGCAAGUCGAACGGGAAGCUUGGGAAUAGUUUACUAUGAAGAGUGGACAGUGGCGAACGGGUGAGUAACGCGUAGGUAACCAACCUCAUACUGGGGGAUAGCCUUUGGAAACGAAGAGUAAUACCGCAUAAGACCACACUGCCGCAUGACAGAGGGGUAAAAGAUUUAUCGGUAUGAGACGGACCUGCGUACCAUUAGAUAGUUGGUGAGGUAACGGGCCCACCCAAGUCGACGAUGGUUAGCCGACCUGAGAGGGUGAUCGGCCACAUUGGGACUGAGACACGGCCCAGACUCCUACGGGAGGCAGCAGUGGGGAAUAUUGUACAAUGGAGGAAACUCUGAUACAGCAACGCCGCGUGAGUGAAGAAGGUUUAGGAUCGUAAAGCUCUGUCUUUGGGGACGAAGAAAGUGACGGUACCCAAGGAGGAAGCCCGGCUAACUACGUGCC
rnacentral:rRNA from 1 species